UACGUAGGGUGCAAGCGUUGUCCGGAAUUAUUGGGCGUAAAGAGCUCGUAGGCGGUCUGUCGCGUCUGCUGUGAAAACUCGGGCUUAACCCGGCCUGCAGUGGUACGGCAGACUAGAGUGCGGUAGGGAGACUGGAAUUCCUGGUGUAGCGGUGAAUGCGCAGAUAUCAGGAGGAACACCAUGGCGAAGCAGAUCUCUGGCGUACUGACGCUGAGAGCGAAGCAUGGGAGCGAACAG
rnacentral:rRNA from 1 species